rnacentral:rRNA from 1 species
CAGUCGCCGCGGUAAUACAGAGGGUGCAAGCGUUAAUCGGAUUUACUGGGCGUAAAGGGCGCGUAGGUGGUUAUUUAAGUGAGAUGUGAAAGCCCCGGGCUUAACCUGGGAACUGCAUCUUAUACUGGGUAACUGGAGUGCAGUAGAGGGUAGUGGAAUUUCCGGUGUAGCGGUGAAAUGCGUAGAUAUCGGAAGGAACACCAGUGGCGAAGGCGGCUACCUGGACUGAGACUGACACUGAGGCGCGAGAGCGUGGGGAGCAAACAGGAUUAGAUACCCCAGUAGUCCCUGUCUCUUAUAC